rnacentral:lncRNA from 1 species
UGCCAAUCUCCUUUUUUGGAAAUUUCUCCUUAGCAUUCUGAAUUUAUUACAAAUUCAUUGUUUCUAAUACAAAUUUUCCCUUUCUCUCGUCAAUUUAUUAUCUGUUUUUCAUUUCCCUUCUCUUUUGUUAAUCUUUCUAAAUAACUUUAAAGUGGUCCUCCAUCUAUUUAGCUAAAUGAAUUCACUCCACAGAUACUCAUUAUUUUGAGGAUGAUUUAUGCAAGCACUAUUAGCUAGAUUGUUCCUUGUUUGAAGGUUUUUCUGCAAUCAGAAGAACUCAGAUUUGAGUCAGCUAGAAUGAGAUCCAGUGAAAAAAAAUUAUUACAUAAAGUGUUCAGCACCUCCAUCAGACUUCGUAUGUGGGAGGUCAGCUCAAAAGGCAUAAAAACACAAAGCAGCUUUCUGCUGUGGGUCUGACCCACUGAUCUCACCUUAGCCUGGGAAAUGCUGUAGCAUCGUGCCCCAAAAUUACAUUCAGGUUGUUUGUUUGCUUCCAGUUGAUACUUACAAUUCCAUGGGAUGAGGUCCUGUGUCACACGGUGGGGUGCAGGAUGUGGCAUAAAGGGGAGCAAGAGCCAGGAUAGCCCUCGUUCCUUUGGGCCACUGGGGGGUUUUCAGCCCUUGGGAGUCUGUAGGAAAAGUGGGAGGGGGGACAGUCCGUAAGUUGGCUUUAUGAAGAAUACUUGAGAUGAGUUGGGGAUCUUUCUGCGAAGUCCUGUCUUGUCUUCCUGUACCAGCAAAUAGCUGCUUUGCACUAAAUGAAUGAAAUGAUGAAGAAGAGGAAGGAAGUGAGGUUAGAUGCCCUCAAUCUAUAUGUGGGAUGUGAUGGAGCGGAUCCAUUUUUUCCACUGUUGAAACCACUGUGGCUGCUGUAGCUUUGGGAGCUGUCUUGACCUGGGUGGCUGCUGUCUGUGUGAUUUUGGGGCAGCUGUGCCCAUCCCCAUCCUGUGUGCUCUGGAGUACAGCCAGGUGCGUGCCAGUGGGGGACGAUCUAUGAGGGCCAGCUAAGAGCAUUACACAUCCCAUUAGGGCAGCUGUGAAAUUGCAAGGCAAGUGCCCAUUCAGGGUACGUACAUCCUCAGAUCAGUAUUGAUCUUGAGAUUUCUGUUGGCUUAUUAAUGACAGCAGCUCUGUGGCCAGAUCCUUCUGGCUGCUGUAGACCUGCAGGAGCCCUCCUGCUGCCAGCGCAGCCAUCUGGAGUAAAUGGGGCAGGAUCUGUCCUUCUCCUUCCAACCACCACACGUGGGUUAAGCAGGAAGCAUGGGAGGGAGGGAGUGUUUUUGCCAGCAAAAUGUUGUCUCUCUUCAGCAAUGACCACCAUUGGAGUUAAUUCAUCUUUCGGAGAAUAAGCCAAAAUCCCCACUGAGGAUUGGUUUGGGCCUAUUUUUUGCCAAGCUUCAUCAGAAUCCUCUGUUUUCGCAAUAAAAGUCCCUCUCAGCUG